rnacentral:rRNA from 1 species
AGCUGGAUUCGCUAGUAAUCGCGCAUCAGCCACGGCGCGGUGAAUACGUUCCCGGGCCUUGUACACACCGCCCGUCAAGCCAUGGGAGCCGGGGGGUACCUGAAGUGCGUAACCGCGAGGAGCGCCCUAGGGUAAAACUGGUGACUGGGGCUAAGUCGUAACAAGGUACC